rnacentral:rRNA from 1 species
CCCUUAGAUGUCCUGGGCUGCACGCGCGCUACACUGACACGUUCAACGAGUUUUGCCUGCUCCGAUGGGACUGGGUAAUCUUAUGAAAGCGUGCCGUGAUGGGGAUAGAUUAUUGCAAUUAUUAAUCUUCAACGAGGAAUUCCUAGUAAGUACAAGUCAUCAGCUUGUGCUGAUUACGUCCCUGCCCUUUGUACACACCGCCCGUCGCUCCUACCGAUUGGGUGAUCCGGUGAAUAACUCGGACUGCAGCUAUUCGGGAGACCGUUAGCUUGUGGAAAGUUUAGUAAAUCUUAUCACUUAGAGGAAGGAGAAGUCGUAACA